GACGAACGCUGGCGGCGUGCUUAACACAUGCAAGUCGAGCGAUGAAGCUUCCUUCGGGAAGUGAAUUAGCGGCGGACGGGUGAGUAACACGUGGGUAACCUGCCUCAAAGAGGGGGAUAGCCUUCCGAAAGGAAGAUUAAUACCGCAUAAUAUCAUUUCAAUGCAUGUUGAAAUGAUUAAAGGAGUAAUCCGCUUUGAGAUGGACCCGCGGCGCAUUAGCUAGUUGGUGAGGUAACGGCUCACCAAGGCAACGAUGCGUAGCCGACCUGAGAGGGUGAUCGGCCACAUUGGGACUGAGACACGGCCCAGACUCCUACGGGAGGCAGCAGUGGGGAAUAUUGCGCAAUGGGGGAAACCCUGACGCAGCAACGCCGCGUGAGUGAUGACGGUCUUCGGAUUGUAAAGCUCUGUUUUCAGGGACGAUAAUGACGGUACCUGAGGAGGAAGCCACGGCUAACUACGUGCCAGCCGCCGCCGUAA
rnacentral:rRNA from 1 species